AAAAGCAGGCUGCCGGAGCCAGCAGUGGCAACCCGCUCGGGUCCCCUUCCACGCUGUGGAGGCUUUGUUCUUUCACUCUUUGCAAUAAAUCUUGCUGCUGCUCACUGUUUGGGUCCACACUGCUUUUAUGAGCUGUAACACUGACCGCGAAGGUCUGCAGCUUCACUCCUGAAGCCAGCGAGCCCACGAGCCCACCGGGAGGAACGAACAACUCCAGAGGCGCCACCUUAAGCGCUGUAACACUCACUGCGAGGGUCCGCGGCUUCAUUCUUGAAGUCAGUGAGACCAAGAACCCGCCAAUUCCGGACACAGCACCAAUGACGGAGGCUGACAUGAUAUAAGAGUCAGAAAAGACUUGACAACCAAAAUGAAACCUAUAAAGAUGCUAGGUUGCUGGCUUUCAAGAUGGAAGAAAGGACCACAAGGCAAGGCUUCAGGCAACCCCUAGAAACUGAAAAAUGAAAGGCAGGUGUUUGCCCACUUUCACCUCCAGAAGAAAUGCAGCCCUCCCUGACACAGAGUAGAAGAUUUCUGACCUCUAGAGCUGUAAAAUAAUAAAUUUGUUGUUUUAGACCACUAAAUUUGUACUAUUUUUCUAAGCAGUAAUUAGAGACUGAUAAAAAUUGUAGUACUUGAAAAUGAGAUGCUGCUGUAACAAAUAAGAAUUUGAAAUUGGCUUUAGGAUUG
rnacentral:lncRNA from 1 species